rnacentral:rRNA from 1 species
AUUGAACGCUGGCGGCAGGCCUAACACAUGCAAGUCGAGCGAGCGGCGGACGGGUGAGUAAUGUAUGGGGACUGCCCGCUAGAGGGGGAUAACUACUGGAAACGGUAGCUAAUACCGCAUACUAUCGGGUACCCCAUAUGGGAUGAGCUAGUAGGUGAGGUAAUGGCUCACCUAGGCGACGAUCCCUAGCUGGUCGGAGAGGAGGAUCAGCCACACUGGGAGGUAGACACGGCCCAGACUCCUACGGAGGCAGCAGUGGGGAAUAUUGCACAAUGGGCGCAAGCCUGAUGCAGCCAGGCCGCGUUGAUGAAGAAGGCCCUAGGGUUGUAAAGUACUUUCAGUCGGGAGGCGUUACCGACAGAAGAAGCACCGGCUAACUCCGUGCCAGCAGCCGCGGUAAUUC